UACCGCUAUUUUAGAAAGCAUCUGAAACAGACACUGAUUCGUGGAGCGAUGGCGUCACUGAUUUGGAGCUAUUGGCGGGACUAUUGGAAGCCGAAAGGGUCAACGAGGAAGAUGAUGAUGACGUCAUAAUUGUGAAUGUUGAAAACGUUCCCGCUGAACAGAGUCAGGAUUUUGAAUCGGAUUUCGGGGAAGAGGUUUCGUGGUACGGCAACUGGGACAACGAAAUAUUUACCGUUUCCUAUGACACCCAGGAUGAUAGCGAUCAUAAUACGGAUGCGGAGGAACUGAUCAAUUGCGAUACAUCGGAAGACAUGUCUUGUGAUGUGGGAAACCUCAUGAUUUCCACGAGCGAGGAAGAAUCAGAG